AACGAACGCUGGCGGCAGGCUUAACACAUGCAAGUCGAACGCCCCGCAAGGGGAGUGGCAGACGGGUGAGUAACGCGUGGGAAUCUACCCAUCCCUACGGAAUAACGCAUGGAAACGUGUGCUAAUACCGUAUACGCCCUACGGGGGAAAGAUUUAUCGGGGAUGGAUGAGCCCGCGUUGGAUUAGCUAGUUGGUGGGGUAAAGGCCUACCAAGGCGACGAUCCAUAGCUGGUCUGAGAGGAUGAUCAGCCACAUUGGGACUGAGACACGGCCCAAACUCCUACGGGAAGCAGCAGUGGGGAAUAUUGGACAAUGGGCGCAAGCCUGAUCCAGCCAUGCCGCGUGAGUGAUGGAGGCCUUAGGGUUGUAAAGCUCUUUCACCGGAGAAGAUAAUGACGGUAUCCGGAGAAGAAGCCCCGGCUAACUUCGUG
rnacentral:rRNA from 1 species